rnacentral:rRNA from 1 species
AGCGAACGCUGGCGGCAGGCCUAAUACAUGCAAGUCGAGCGCCCGUAGCAAUACGGGAGCGGCAGACGGGUGAGUAACACGUGGGAACGUACCCUUCGGUUCGGAAUAACCCAGGGAAACUUGGGUUAAUACCGGAUACGCCCUUACGGGGAAAGAUUUAUUGCCGAAGGAUCGGCCCGCGUCCAAUUAGCUAGUUGGUGGGGUAAUGGCCCACCAAGGCGACGAUCGGUAGCUGGUCUGAGAGGAUGANCAGCCACACUGGGACUGAGACACGGCCCAGACUCCUACGGGAGGCAGCAGUAGGGAAUAUUGGACAAUGGGCGCAAGCCUGAUCCAGCCAUGCCGCGUGGGUGAUGAAGGCCCUAGGGUUGUAAAGCCCUUUCGGCGGGAAGAUAAUGACGGUACCCGCAGAAGAAGCCCCGGCUAACUUCGUG